GACGAACGCUGGCGGCGUGCCUAAUACAUGCAAGUCGAACGCAGUGGGGACGGGUGAGUAACACGUGGGUAACCUCCCCUCAGAGGGGAUAACACUUGGAAACAGGUGCUAAACCGAUACUGAUGGAUGGACCCGCGGUGCAUUAGCUAGUUGGUGAGGAAACGGCUCACCAGGGCCACGAUGCAUAGCGGACCUGAGAGGGGGCUCGGCCACAAUGGGACUGAGACACGGCACAGAAUCCUACGGAGGGGAGCAGGAGGGAAGCUUCGGCAAUGGAAGAAAGUCUGAACGAGCAACGCCGCGUGAGUGAAGAAGGUUUUCGGAUCGUAAAACUCUGUUGUUAGAGAAGCGGUAUCUAACCAGAAAGCCACGGCUAACUACGUGCCAGCAGCCGCGGUAAUU
rnacentral:rRNA from 1 species